rnacentral:rRNA from 1 species
GACGAACGCUGGCGGCGUGCUUAACACAUGCAAGUCGAACGCUGAAGCUCAGCUUGCUGGGUGGAUGAGUGGCGAACGGGUGAGUAACACGUGAGUAACCUGCCCUCUUCUUUGGGAUAACGCCCGGAAACGGGUGCUAAUACUGGAUAUUCACUGAUUCUCGCAUGGGGGUUGGUGGAAAGGUUUUUUCUGGUGGGGGAUGGGCUCGCGGCCUAUCAGCUUGUUGGUGGGGUGAUGGCCUACCAAGGCUUUGACGGGUAGCCGGCCUGAGAGGGUGACCGGUCACAUUGGGACUGAGAUACGGCCCAGACGGCUACGGGAGGCAGCAGUGGGGAAUAUUGCACAAUGGGCGAAAGCCUGAUGCAGCGACGCCGCGUGAGGGAUGGAGGCCUUCGGGGUGUAAACCUCUUUCGCUCAUGGUCAAGCCGCAGCUUUGGGUUGUGGUGAGGGUAGUGGGUAAAGAAGCGCCGGCUAACUACGUG